CCUACGGGAGGCAGCAGUGGGGGAUAUUGCACAAUGGGGGAAACCCUGAUGCAGCGACGCCGCGUGUGGGAAGACGGUCCUCUGGAUUGUAAACCACUGUCCCCAGGGACGAAGAUGACGGUACCUGGGGUGGAAGCUCCGGCUAACUACGUGCCAGCAGCCGCGGUAAUACGUAGGGAGCGAGCGUUGUCCGGAAUUACUGGGUGUAAAGGGAGCGUAGGCGGGACUGCAAGUUGGGGGUAAAAUCUACCGGCUCAACCGGUAGCCGCACUCAAAACUGCAGUUCUUGAGUGGAGUAGAGGCAGGCGGAAUUCGUAGUGUAGCGGUGAAAUGCGUAGAUAUUAGGAGGAACACCAGUGGCGAAGGCGGCCUGCUGGGCUUUUACUGACGCUGAGGCUCGAAAGUGUGGGGAGCAAACAGGAUUAGAUACCCGUGUAGUC
rnacentral:rRNA from 1 species